rnacentral:lncRNA from 1 species
UUAUUUUUUUUUUUUUUGGCUGGCUAACGAGUUUAUGGGCACGAAUAUGCUUUCUUAGGUAAAUAUUAUGUGACAUUGUUUACAAGCUAUAUUGACGUCUUUGCAUAGCUGAAACACUGAGUGAUUACUUGAGACAGGAUACGGAUUGUUAUGUUGUACUCUUUCUUUCUUUUAACUUACCUUCGGAUGUUUAGUCAUGUUUAUUUUGUGCUGAAACUACUAUUAAACUUCAUUAGCUGAAGUGAAUUUGACAAGACAUGCUUGUAAGCUAGGAAAGUUCUUAGUAUCAUUCCAAAAUAUUAUCUUUGGCUGCAAAACUUAUACACACAGCCAAGCAAAGUGUUCUGAAAAGCCAGUUGGGGAGCUACCCCAUAAUUUCCAACUAUACCAGACCCUCAGUGUUUACCAUUGCACUAGGGGGAUGGGAAUGACUAAGCCUGUCAGUCAGCAUAUGGCUGUGAGCUGACUAAUAAUCUGAGCUUAUUUAACAGUCCUGUACACAGCCAGACACUGGGAAGAGAUCCGUAGAAAAGAAACAACUAACACUACCAGCACUGCCCAUGGGACGGGGUUAGCUCCAAUGGCAGAGCAGACCAAACAGGAUACCAGGCCAUGCAUCUACCUCACCUCGCUCAUUGAGCUCUGCCUCUGUGAGCACUCGCCGGUCGAGGUUCUCUGUUCCUUCCUUGCCAUGUGCUGGUUCUGGCCUGACUGUGUCAAGGAAGGCAAGGACAUCUUUCUUAACUCAGCCCUUCUCACUCUACAUCGGCUGCUCCAGGACAAGCUGGCCCGACUGCUAGAGGAUAUUGCUGCCUGCAUGGCCUGCCAGAAUGGUGCAGAAGGAUCAGUUUUCAUGCCUUUAAAAAGAAGAUGGCUACAUGGCACAAUUGCUGUAACCUCAGGGAUGAAUCACGGCCUGUCAGAGCUCUACUACAGCAUGACAGGACAUUUUCCUCUGAGCAAUGGCCAGUGCUUUCUCCAGGGACUUUACAUCCUCUUGGCUUCCCAUAGUAUUUUUAUUUUGUUAUGUUGUAUGAGCAGCACUCUAUGCAAGAUCCUGUUAGUCUGGGUUUCCAGGAAUUAACACAAUAAAAUGAGUAUGUCAGAAUUUAAGUGCUGCAAGAGUUACUCGCUGUUUGUUGGUGGCUACUUGUUGAAGAGGGGAGUUAGCAUUAGUUUAACACCUUGCCUACAGAAUAUGCCAAAUGAGAGUAAUCCUUCUCUUGGCAGACAUCCAAGACCCAUAAUCCUUCUGCCUCCCACAGUUCCUCUCCGGUGACCUUAGAGAAGUCACCACAGUUUGUUCUUUGUUACUGCUUCAUUUAGCUAAUAAAGUGGCAGAAAUUUAAACUGCUCAGUGAUUGUAUUCAUAGGAUUUCAUUUUUUUACAUGGACACUUUUUUGUGCAAGUCGCUUUGGGUGUUGUUGGGUGGUAAUGGUAUGUUUUGCAGCUCUAAACAUGCUUUAGUGCAGAACUAGCCUUUAAGGAUCUUUUAAGCUGGGUACAUUAACAGUCAGUAAGUGCUAUAUGUGAAUUAAAACAUUGGGCAAAUUAUGCUUUUUAAACAAUACAAAGUCCUCGAACAUGCAAAGCAAUAGAAAUUACACAAACUGUUGGUCUCAAGCCAAGAUUAAUCAUAUUUCCCCAUAGAUAAUUGUAUUGUCCCACGUAAUCUCAUGAGUAUUCCUGUGUAUUUUAUGCAAAGGGUUGUUCUUUACUUACACAUGCACAGACAACGAAACUUACAAAACUGACAUAUUAACAGCAUCUAAAAAGUAAAUUAUUUACAUAUGAACAACUUCACGGACAUACAAAUGAAUAUUUAUGAAUACUGAAAUUCUGGCAUUAACAUUUGAAUUAUCAGUCACUGUAUAUCAGUGUUUUCAAUUUCAUUUAUUAAUUCCAGUUUACUUAAUAUGUAAGAGAUAAUGUAAAUCCAGCUGGUUGUUAUCGCAGAAUAACCCCUGACAGGGUGAUCAGGACCCCAACGCGAAGCUUUGCAUUCAAAUAUUGAGCUGAAAUAUUUUAAUGCAAAUCAGUUGCAAGCAAGCGGCAAGUUCAAACUUGCAUUUUCUUUGUUAUAAAAUACACCAAUAUAUCCUUUCAAUAUGACCUAAUUGUAAAAAACAAAAAUGCACUUUUUGUACCUGUAAAUGUUAUAUACUGAUCCCUACAUAUAAAAAAUGGACUUUCUGCACUUUCUGGGGGGAAGAGAGAAACAGGAAAACUGACUUGGGAAACACAGCAGGGUACAGGCCGCUCUCUCUUGUUAUUCCUUGAUAUUCUAAAGCAGUAAAACAUUGUAAGAGUAAAUUUUAUCUUCCGCGUGAGUAAGAGAUUAAUCUUUGUUGGGAAAUCGAAACUAAAUUUCCACCGUGUGCAAUGUUGCAUUACAAAUAAACAUGACUUUGCUGUGCCUAGCUUUGCCUUGCCUAACAAGCACAAAACAUGUAGAUAAAGAUCUAGACCCACAAAAUGAUGAAAUCUUGUACAAACGCACUGCACGAUAGUAAUGUCUGAACAAAGGACUUGUUACGUUAAAAGAUAUUUUUGCCAUUUGCCAAAACAUUAUUUUACUUAAAAAAUUAUUUACUUUUUGAAUCAGUUUUGAAGUUGAAACAAUGAAACUGUAUUUUCUUGUAUAACACACAAUAAUAAUCUUUGUUUUAUUUGUAGCUUUUACAGUGCAUAAAGGUAUCUGCUUUACAAUGUUUUUCUAAUUUACCACAGUAAAGGAUGUGCAUAUAAGGAUUAAUAUAAAUGUAUCUAUAAAUAAAUUGCCUGACAUAAACAUACAUACAUACAAAACCUAAGAUCUAAAGGCCUGACUGGCAGGUGCUUGUUUGGUGCGUUUAAUGUGUUGUUCAGAUACUGCCAAGGUUUAGUGUUACAUGGCCUGUAUUUGAAAUAAACAACGCUCUGAGAGGUCUCUCUGAUUACUAACCAUGGGCAGCAGACUAUUUUGUCUACUGCACAGAACCAGACAUCAGAUGUAAUGUUGUUCACUUAAAUGUUUUCACAUUAAAACUUCUAAGAAUAGGAUAUUUGCCUGAGUGACAGCCCAGAGCAAAAAAAAAAAAAAAAUUUGGAAAGUUCAGACUAUUUUGAGACUGUUUGAAAAGCAGAUCUAUUUUUCAAAAAUCUAAGAAAAUCAAUGUUUUUUUCCUUCUUGUGUGUAACUGUGUAUUUCUGGUUAAUAUUUUCAGGCAAUUCUCUUUUCAGUAUGUGUGGUAAUGUUAGCCUUAUUGUUCACAGGCCAUCCAGAAACGUUUCCAUUGUGUUGAUGUUAUUGAAAGGGUAGGCUACUGGUAGUGUUUGCAAACUGUCUGAGCACUUCAUUAUGUUCUCUGGAAACUGCAGCGGGGUCAUGCGAGGCAGCAAUUGAUAUGCAGAUUUCAGUGAGCAGCAGCAGUUUCAGUCUAGCGUCUAUGUCCACAAAACCUGCUAGUGAUCGAUUUUUAGAUCCUGUCAGAAAGCCCUAAGCUUUGAAAAGAUACUGUUACUGGCCUAACACUGAGGAUUUUGGAAAUGCUUGAUUGUUGACUUGGAGUUGGAAGAGGGAGACACGUCAUGACUUAAAGUGGAGCAAGAGUGUGAGUGUGACCAACCCAGAGCUGAAGACUAACUCAACAAAAAUGCCAACUUUCAGGGUGGGCAAGAUUAGAAGGAAGGGCUGUUCUCUGGCCAGAAGGACCAAGUACCAGGCCAUAACUGCCUGGAGGAUACUUUAUAGGCUGCUUUUCAUGGUGAGUUUAUUUAUGGGUCAGAACAAGAGGAUGAAGACAAAGCAUCUCCAAGGUGUCUCUAGUGACCACUUGACUGUAUUUCAUUUGAAGCACUGAUACUAAUGUUUGAGAGGAUCAACCCUCACAUAAAAAUACUGAUCCUGAAGUAAGG